rnacentral:rRNA from 1 species
CUACGGGCUGCUGCAGUGAGGAAUAUUGCACAAUGGGGGGAACCCUGAUGCAGCAACGCCGCGUGGAGGAUGACGCAUUUCGGUGUGUGAACUCCUUUUAUAUGUCAAGAAAAUGACGGUAGCAUAUGAAUAAGCACCGGCUAACUCCGUGCCAGCAGCCGCGGUAAUACGGAGGGUGGAAGCGUUACUCGGAAUCACUGGGCGUAAAGGACGCGUAGGCGGGUUGGAAAGUCAGGUGUGAAAUCCUACAGCUUAACUGUAGAACUGCACUUGAAACUUCUAAUCUAGAGUAUGGGAGGGGGAGAUGGAAUUAGUGGUGUAGGGGUAAAAUCCGUAGAUAUCACUAGGAAUACCUAAAGCGAAGGCGAUCUCCUGGAACAUUACUGACGCUAAGGCGUGAAAGCGUGGGGAGCAAACAGGAUUAGAUACCCGGGUAGUC